GAAAAGGCUUGAAGGAGGCUUGUGAAGUUCUGCAAAGGCAACAGUUUGGAGUCGACAGACGAGGACAGUGCGGAAAAGAGUAACUAUCGUCAAAAUAUGUUGAAUUUAGGCCUACAUCAGCCCCUACAUCUGCAGUCUCAGGAAGACCUCCAGUGCAGGCCUCAACAAGCAGGCUCCACACAGAGACAAUGGAAAGACCCAAAAACAGAUUCUGCAGUAAUGGAGCAAAAAAACAGACCUUGCCAGCCACACCACCAUUUCCAUUAUCAACACCUGCAGUGACAGUCCCAGGUCCUGGAGAAAAUGAAAGAGAACUCCAGCUCUAUCAAAUAUGAAAUACAAUGCAA